AACGCUGGCGGCGUGCCUAACACAUGCAAGUCGAACGCGAAAGCCCCGCAAGGGGUAAGUAGAGUGGCAAACGGGUGAGUAACACGUGGGUGACCUACCUUCGAGUGGGGGAUAACGUCCCGAAAGGGACGCUAAUACCGCAUGACAUCCUGCGUUUGGAAACGCGGAGAUCAAAGCCGGGGAUCGCAAGACCUGGCGCUUGAAGAGGGGCCCGCGCCUGAUUAGCUAGUUGGUGGGGUAACGGCUCACCAAGGCAACGAUCAGUAUCCGGCCUGAGAGGGCGGACGGACACACUGGGACUGAGACACGGCCCAGACUCCUACGGGAGGCAGCAGUGGGGAAUUGUACGCAAUGGGCGCAAGCCUGACGACGCAACGCCGCGUGGAGGACGAAGAUCUUCGGGUCGUAAACUCCUGUCGAGCGGGAAGAACGCUUCCCGGGUGAAUAAUCCGGGGAAUUGACGGUACCGCUAAAGGAAGCC
rnacentral:rRNA from 1 species